CUUGCUCCCUUGACGUUAGCGGCGGACGGGUGAGUAACACGUGGGCAACCUGCCUGUAAGACUGGGAUAACUUCGGGAAACCGGAGCUAAUACCGGAUAACACUUUUCCUCGCAUGAGGAAAAGUUGAAAGGUGGCUUUUGGCUACCACUUACAGAUGGGCCCGCGGCGCAUUAGCUAGUUGGUGAGGUAACGGCUCACCAAGGCGACGAUGCGUAGCCGACCUGAGAGGGUGAUCGGCCACACUGGGACUGAGACACGGCCCAGACUCCUACGGGAGGCAGCAGUAGGGAAUCUUCCGCAAUGGACGAAAGUCUGACGGAGCAACGCCGCGUGAGCGAAGAAGGUCUUCGGAUCGUAAAGCUCUGUU
rnacentral:rRNA from 1 species